GCUCAAACAAACUCCAGACAAUUGAGCGCAGGGUAUAUGCGAGCGAGAGGAGACCGAUGGGAGGAGGUCUACCCCAUGUACACGGGCUGGUUCUUACGACCUGUAGACAGCUUCUUUCUCUUCAGGCGCUUCUGCCACAUUUCACGACUUCUGACCGACUCAGUGACAAGUGCAGUUCUGGAAACUAUUUUGUCAAACAGGACCUCUGAGGUGCAACAGGGGAAAUAGGGUGGAAGCAAGCCCAGAUGUUGCACACCGAAGGACAACCGUUCUGCC